CAAACGGCCCUUUUCAGGGCCACACGAAAUACCACAACCGGCCCUU
rfam:Trachymyrmex cornetzi contig47144, whole genome shotgun sequence.